rnacentral:lncRNA from 1 species
CCCGCGGCCCGGGGCGGCGGCCGGAGCCGGGAGCGCCCGGUCCUCUCCCCGGGUAAGUGGGGACCGUAAGUGGGGACCGAGCGCGCACCAGGGCGGGCGCGGCGCCGCGGCGGCGGCAACUUUUCGGCGCCGGCGUCGUGGGCGGAGGGGGCGGGCGCGAGGGGGGCGCCGCGGGGACCGCGCGUCUGGCGACGGCCGAGCCCCGGGCGCCCCCUGCGGGUGGGGGAGGGGCGGCCCGCCCCUCGCUCAGGCCCGGGGACGUGGAGGGAGGCGGCCGGCGACCGGCGGGGCGGGCUGGGGGCGUGCGCCCGCCUUGAACUUGGGCCCGGCCGGGGCGGCUGUGCAGGGCCCGCCCCCACGGGGUGCCGGUGGCCCGCAGCACGGGAGGCUUGGGAGGGGGCUCUCUGGGGACAGUAGUUCAAGUUUUUGACAUGUCGCCCUGGCGAGGGGAGGAAGGCCUACCGCUGGCGAGGGCCGGAGGAGCCGCAGGGCUCGGGGGAUGUCUCCUGCCCCCUGUCCCCUCUGGCCCAGGAGGGAAGGGCUGGCUCAGGGUGCCUGGGAAAGGACAGGUUUGGGGGACUCUUCAGGGCUGGCUCCCCAGCCCUGUCAGCGCAGGGUCCCUAUGCCCUUGGGCGGCAGGAGGGUGAAAGGGCCCAGCUGAACCCUGUCCUCCCUCUCCUAGCCCCAGACGGUUCCAGCCUUGGAUUGACUGCCACCAAGGCCCCCAACCCUAACUGACCUUCCUGCCCAGCCAGGCUCCAGAUCCCGUGUCCUCUUGAAUGCCUAGCGGUGCCCUUAUUCCAUGUCACCUGCCCCCUCCCCAGCUCCAAUCAGCUGUUGGCUGGUGACAAGGGGUCUGUACAGGGGAGGCGGGCACAGGACCCCUGGCAUGAGGGGUGUCCUCUGGCAGCCCUGUCUGCUGGCCCAGGCUGGAGGCGCACCGACAGGUGCCCGGGCUUAGGGGCGCGCUGACGUGAGACACACCCUGCCGCUCGCCCACGCACCGCGCCUGGCCAGCCUGGGCACAUGUGUUCGCAGGCAGCCUUCAGGCGAAGGCCCUGGCCCUGGGGCGAGCUCUGUCCUGGCAUCCCGGGGGCCACCCACUGCCCUCUGUCCUCGUGUGAUGUCCUCUGGGAGCUCCCUCAAGACCCCAACCAGCAAGCCUCGUCUGUGGGCCUAGAAGGGCCCUAAGGGAGCUGUCGGCCUGGCCUGGGGAUGGCACGCGCACACAUGCGUGACAGGGCGUGUCCGGCCGGGCCUGUCCAUGCUGGCCCGGCUUCCCAGGCUUCCCCAGAUUCCUGCUUGUCGAAGAAGGACGGGAGGCGGGCGCUCCAGGGGUCCUCCUAGGACCCCAUGGCAUGACACCCCCUGCCUGAAGCAAGUGGGUGACAGAUGUGCCAGGCAGCCUCAGCUGCAGGGCAGGCCCCCACCCGUUACAUUCCACGGGGAACAGGCCAGCAGGCCCCUGGGCACAGUGGGGUGACCUGACUGCCGUGGGCCAGGUGGUGCUUGUACAUCAUGGGGCAUUUCUCUGAGUUUGCCCUUCACCUUGGGAGGCUGGGGGGGGGGCCAGGGGUUCCGUCUGGAGUGUGUAAUGCUGCGGGGAGCCCUGGGUGGUCUUCAGAUGACCCCCUUCAAGGGCUUCUUGGGUGCCCUGGAUGUGCCUUACGCCAGGUUGGGCUGCUCCCUUCAGACUUACUGUGUGACCCCAGAACCUACUCUGCCCGCUCUGUUUUGCGGCUGUAAGUGGGGAGUAUUCAGAGACCGAGUGGAAGGAACCCCUCUUGUCCUUGUCCGGGGCCUCGACUUCAGAUCCCUCAGGGGCACUCUGGCCACUUUCCCUCCUGCUUGCAGGUGUCCUAUGCGGACACAGAGGUGUGCCUCGUGUCCCUCCGGAUGGCUCUGCCUUCAGGGCCGGUCACCUGGGCAGGAUGGGAGUGCAAGGCCUGGGCGUGGGUGUGAGAGUGCUUGGGCCAGGACCCCGCCACACUGGGCACGACUGAGUCACACUGCAGCGGCGCCUUGCCCCCGGGGGCUGGAGCUGGCGCCACCCUGGGUGUGGUCACUGAGCUGUGGCCCUGGGCAGAGCAGGGCUGGGUGGUCCCGGGCUUGGGGCAUCAUGGCAAGGAGCCAGGAAGUGCCUUCCGCGAUACCCUGGCCUCCCCUAGCUUGGGCUCCCAUGGCCACCCCGACUGUGGGCGCCCUCACCCUGGGGAGCCUUGGGUUCCCAGGGGAGGAAGGAGCCGGUCAGAGCCAGCAACCUGGGCUGCGGAUGUGGCUCCGUGGAGGAGCCCCUGCCCCGGGCCUGGGCGCCACCUCCAGCACCAGAAGAAAGAAAAGGCACCAGUGACUGUCCUCGAGGCCAGUGGUCCCUGAAAUCCAGGCCAGGGCUUGGAAGCGGACCUGUCAGAAGGUGGGGGGCCUGCUGGUGGGCACCCCGGGGAGGGCUGGGUGGUCGUGAGUGCGCUCUGCUUGGCUCUGGAGGGCCGGGAGAGGAGCCCUGGGCGGCGGGGGCGGGGCGGCUUUCGUGUUCCCCUAUUUAUAACAAAUGAUUCAGUCCCCAUCACUCACCCUUCCUGAGCCUCCCCCCUCGGCCCUGGGUGGGCACGGGGGCCACCCACUGGCGCGCACCCUGGCUUCCCUGUCCUGGUGCCAGCCCCCGCGGGCUUCCCCACGUCACCCAGGAGGGCUGUUCUUGUGUGUGCUCUGGGAUGGGGACAGUGGGGGGCCGGUGGCCGGGCGGCACCCGGCGGGGCGGCCCAGGUUGGCGGCUGGCGCGGGGCCAGCCCGCGAGCUUCUGUUGAGAGUCUAGCCCAUUAGGCAAAGCGCUGGUGACAGGCUGGGAGGGCGGUGGCGGCGGCGGCGGGCAGGGCGGGGCCUGUGGGCCUUGGUAUUUUCCGAUCCCAGCUGCUCUGGGAGGUGGAAAGUAUUUGGGGAUCAGGCUUGGGGGCGCGGUGGAGGCGCCCCGGCAGAAGCCACCCCUGAUGCACCCUUGGAGCUCCGGCCGGGGGCAGUGGGUGCCGCGUGUCUGGGGCGACCCACGCGGCCUGGGGCAGCAUCUGGCCAUGUGUGCAGACAGACCUGGGCCGGCGGCGGGCGUCCUGGGAAGCCUGGGAACCGCGGUGCCGCCCAGCCCAGGGGCCACCCUCUUCCCCACGCUCCCGCUGCCAGGGCCUGGCCCGCUCUGGGCACCAUCGCCCUGAACCCCAGGGGUACAUGGUUACUGUGAAGGGGCCCCGGCGGCGGCGGGCACCUGCGUGGCAGUGCCCCCUCCACGCAAGACCCAGACUUCUUGUGCCUGUGGAUGGGAGUGGCCUUGGCCCGGGCCCUGGGCUCUGUGCAGGGGAAACCCCACAGGAAACGAGCCUGGCCAAAUGGCCGCCCUUCCCGUUCUCGUCCCUGGGACACGAAUAUGCUGUCUCACUUCCGGAGGCGGCCCUGGGAGGCUGGCUGCUGUGCUGGACCAAGUCGGCUCCCAGUUGGUGCCCCCAGACCCUCAGGGUACAGGGCUGGGCUGGGGCCAGUGGGGGGGGGUGUUGGCGUGAGUGGGGGUCAAGUGAGACACUGUCACUGCCUGCUUCCUGGUGGUAGGUGACCCCAGAUCUGGACAUUGGGGUCUUUACGGUGUGGGGCUUCCUUGUUUCCCUUGUCCUGCCCGAUGAGGAUGGCAUCACCCUGUCCUGAUUUUGUGUGUGACGUAUGGUACACCAUUUAUGAAGCGGGUAGUUGACGCUGUUUGUAGAUGGGGAAACUGAGGCCCAGAGAGGUUGAGUGGUUGGCCCAGGGUCACCCAGUUGGGAAGCUGCAGAGCAGGGGUCAGGGUGGGGUUCAGGUGGUAGGCAGACUCUAGAAUUGGUGUCUUCUAGCCACUGGGCACUUAUCAUAAGAGGAUCUGUCACAACUGUGUGACCUGUAUAGUCUCAAGGCUCCCUUCUUGAAGGACCUGAACUGGAUCUCAUCUGUUACAGCUGCCUUGAAAACCUUCUUUUGGGCAGUGCUGGUGACGGAACCCGGGGCUUCGUGUAGCUAAGCUCCUGCUCGUCUAUUAAGCGGCACCCUAAGCCCCAUGAAGUUCUUAAUUUGCAAACAAGAAACCAGAUUUUCAUUCUGCACUGGUCCCCACAAAUUCAGUGGCCUGCCCUGGUGUGGGGCGCUCGCCAAGCGACGUAUCCCUCGGUGAACUCUCGCGGGGUUAUGUGCGAGAAGCUCUUGGCUCCAUUUUGCAGAUGGGGAAACUGAGGCGUGGGGCAUUUGGAAAGAUGCAGAACAGGAGAUUUGAACAUCACUAGGGCUUUUUGGGUGGCAAAGCCAGUGGUGUCAGCCUGGGUCCUGUGUCCUGGGGGGUCGUAUGAGUGCUCCGGGGGAGCUGGGCCCUCUGUGCCCAUAUCCGCCCUGAAGGGAUUCGGGCUGAGGCCCGGCCACAGCCACAGAGGAGACAGGACCACUGGGGGGAGGCCUGGUGGUUUCCUCCUGGCCCUCCGGCUUCUAGGAAGUGGCGCCAGCUGGGGUGAGAUCACUUCCUCACCCGCCUGCCUGCCCCCCCUCGGCUUCCUCUCGCCACGGCCCCAUUUGGCCUGCCCAAGGCACAGGGGUGGGGGUGUGGGGAGGAGUGGGGGGAAGGCUGGGAACUGGCUCUGGGAGUUCCUGCAGCCUCCUUGGCCCAAGGCGGCUCUCUGGGCAUCUCUGCCUCUAGGGCUGGGACCAGGAGUGGGGGUCCAGUCACGGCCAGCGCUGCCUCCUGCGACUGCCUGUGGGGAGCAGCUUCCCUGCGGGCCCCAGAAGGAGGCCAGUGAGGACCUGGAGGGGUGGUGUCCCCAAUUCUCAUUACCUCCUUUGCUCUUUCUCGCCUCCAGGUGCCAGCCUCUGGGCCCACCCAGUGCCCCUAACCCUGUGCCACGGCCGGCUGGGGUUCCUGGGGAUGGGAUUUGCUGCCAAUCACAAAUCACAUUGCCAGGGAUUUCCAACCGACCCUGAGCUCUGCCUCCGGGGCCACCGUUGCUGCUGAGGAUGUCACCGGGGACAGGGUGUCAGAUGCCCUGCCACCACCUAUGCUGGCCUGAGGAGCAGGGCUUAGCUGCUUGUGAGCAGGAUCCACACCAAGUCGUGUUCACAGUGGCUAAGUUCCGCCCCCCGGGCUCCCACCUCCUCGGGGCCUGCCGCUGCCCGCUGCCCGGCUCCCUGGGCUCCGCCCCCCGUGCCUACUGAGCUGAAACACAGUUGGUUCGUGCACACUGGCUCAGUUCAGCAGGAACAGGGGUCAAGCCCCCUCGGAGUCCGCAGCCCCUGUGCCGCUGGGUCGGCCGCCCAAAGCUGAGGCCAGCCCCAGACCCAGGUGUGUCUGGAGAAGGGACGAGGAAAGCGGGGGUGGCCGGCCGAGCUGGCUGUCCUGUCUGCUGCAGGUCUCUUCUCCCUAGUCUGCCCUUUGGGGACCCUCCCUUGGCCACUGUGGGUUGGGCUGUGGUCCCGGGUGGACAUGGAGAUAGGUGGGUGGCCCUUCCAGAAAAAGGGAAGCCAGCUGUGUCCCCUGGGGUCUGGCACCCCAGCCCCUCCUCUCCUCAGCCUGCCCCUGUCCCAUCAACGAGGCAGUUACCCAAGAGGAAGCUGCUCGGCCCCUGACCGUUAAGUGCCAACUCCCAGCUUCCGGAACCCAGCUGGCCUGGCCUGGCCGAGUGAGCCUGCCCUGCUCCCGGGGCCUGCAGACUCCUAAUUGUGGGGAUGAACAGUGACACCUGUGCCUGCCGGGAACGAGGGACAGGGAACAAGGCCCAGGUGGGCCCAGAAAGGACACAAGCAGGCUGACCUCCUCCUCGGUGGCCUUGAAGGUGGAACUUAAAGCCUAUCCUGAAAUCGGCUGGGAUGAGGGCCCCUUGGGCUGGGACCCAGAGGCUGAGGGGAGCCCCCAGGCCAUCAGCACUGGACCAGGUCCUCUUUCCCAGCCCAGGGGCAGGCCGAAGCCUGGGGUAGGAGGGAGAGUUUGUGUUGUGCGUUGUGCAGUUAAUUAAAUAAAGUCACUAGCCUUGUCCUGAAGGUCU